UUACAAAUGGUGAGGAGAAAAGCUAGCAAGAAGGUUAAUCGGAGCUUUCGAGCAACUGUAGCUACAGCCCCAAGAUGGCAGUGUUUUCAGUGGUCCUGCCUGUAGGUAUGACUGUGUUUGGGACGGGCAUGUGGUCUCUGAUUGGCUGAUCACACCCCCUGAGACUCCUUUUUUUAGCGUUAAAAAAUGUUGAAUAGACAGCCAGCUUUUGGGAGCAGCCCUGUGCAGAAGAAAGAUGGAGAAGCAUCUGAGGACCUCCUUGGUGGCUUUGUGGCUUCAUUUUUGUUGGGUGAGUGGCAAAAACCAAGUGGAACAGCACCCUCCAUCCCAGAUCAUCCAAGAGGGAGAGAACUGCACAUUUCAAUGCAACUAUACAGUGAGCCCCUUUAGCCAUUUAAAAUGGUACAAGCAGGGCACUGGGAGAAGUCCUGCUUUCCUGAUAAUCAUGACUGACGAUGACAGCAAAAACCCAAGUGGCAGGUACACAGUGACUCUGGAUGCAACCUCCAAGCACAGCUCCUUGCACGUCACAGCCGCCCAGCUCAGCGACUCAGCUGUCUACAUCUGUGUGGUGAGCGCACUGUGUUCCCCAGGCACUUGCAGCCAGUACCCAAACCUGCACCUGCAGGUUGUUGAGGAUGCUUAGCAGGUGACGUACUAGCAUUGUUUUGUUUGUUUGUUUGUUUGUUUUCUUUUUUUUAUGUUGUAUAUACUUUCACUAGUGAGCUGGUACUUCUUUCUUACACAUGACUGAGUUUGAGCUUAAGCCAGGAUGUCUACACAGCACAAAGUUACCCUCAUUCAACACAUAAAGUUAACUGCCACAUCUGGCUAUUCCCAAAGGUAAGACUGCCAUGUUGCCUUACUUCUGUUGAAGUAAAUGAUGAUUUUGUCUUAAAGGGAGAAAUUGGCUCUGUCUGGGGUCCAGCGACCAGUUCCUACUGUCAACGAAGUGGAAAAGCAACAAGUUGAUGGGGCUGAUCACAGUAUUUGACUAGCUUCCUUCCCCCUGACAGAUUUUUAUUCCUCAUUUAAUGGCUAUUCAAGUUCUCAGGAUGCAUUCUGUGGGGAGAGAUCUGCUUUACCAAUCUAUCUGUGCUUCACAUCAAGGCACCUUUCCAGAUGCGGCACAGACUCAUUUAUUGUCAUCCACGGCUGCUCCUUUGGAGAACAUCGCUGCUCAGACUAUUAUGCCAGCAUGAGGCUGGCAGGCACAGUCACUCCGAGGCAACAGGCCAGCUGUCCCACACUCUUCAGCUAAUAGUAUCCUAGAAAAGAAACGUAAGGGACAAAAUGUCUACCUGCUAUAGGGUAGUCUUAGAUUGCCCAAAAUAGCUGUGAUGAUCUUUUUUGAGACACUUACAGAAAUUUAAAUAUGGUUUGAGUGUUGGAUGAGAUAACUAUUUAUUUUAUUUGAAAAGCAUAUGUUAACUGAGAAAAACAAGAAGGAUGUAUGAGACAUUAAAAAUGGCAAUCUCGUUGAGUGGUAAGAAUACGCUGCUUGACCUGAGCAAAAACUGAGAGUAGCACUGUUAACCGACUGAGCUACCCAGGUGCCCCACCAAUUUCUUGCUUCUAGUGUAUUUUAAUGUAAUUUAUAAGAUGGAUCCACACAAGCUUUAUGGAGCAGGGCUCAGAUACCAGAUCAUUAGAAGGAGCUACAGUGUCCAUAGCCAGAUUCUUAUCUAGGGGCUCAUUUAGUAGAUUUUUGCACUGAGAAGAGAGAAAAAAACCUCUCUAGGUCUUCCUUGGGGGACGGAUGGGUUUUCAUUAUUCAGUGUGUAACUUGUACAUGACAGAUGCUGAAGAAUUUUAUAAAAGAAAAAAGGAAAGAGAACAACCUAGGGGAGAAAUAGGGGUAGCUCUCCAACCAAUCAGCACUUGGUCUUGACAUGGUGUGCUUUCAUGUUAUCUCUUCACAGAUCAGGAGUAGCUGAGUGAAUAUGUGCACAAGGAAUGCAUCUAAUUUUUGGUUGGCUGAGGAGUCCUCAGCUUCCUGUAACAACAGAAGUAUAAAUAUGUACUUGUGGAGGGGGA